UUUUAUUUUUUUUGGUCAUCCUCUUUUGAGGUCUACAUCUAAACCCCUGAGUUUUGCUGCUGAGCUUUUCUGUUUUCAGAAAACACCAUCUGUAAUUACACAUCAGAAUAGUAGGUAAUAUCUUGGAAUGCUUUUAAGUCCAUAUGCAUUGUAUAACUUUGCCAAAGAGGAAUAUUUUGCCAUAGCAGACAGAGUGCAGGAAAGGAAUUUCUUUUAGAGUAACAUGCUAGAGGGAAUGCUGGCAAGGGGGAGGGUCUAUCCAAAAAGGCACAUGGCCGCGAGUUGUAUGAACUUGCUACAACCCCUCACAAAGCCACAACCUACAAAAGAAAAGCCCCAUUGCAAGUUGACCCGAUCAGGCACCCCAUGUGGCACAAGCCAUGAACCGUAUAGAUCCGAACCAACACCUAUAUUUGAAGUAUUCCAAGUUAUAUCAGGAAAAAUAGGC